GGUUUACAAAGUUCUACAAGAUGCUGAGCUGUACCAUCUUAGCGGAUGUUUUCAAAGAAAUCAAACUGUCAGAACUGAGAGAUUAUGUGCAGUAUGUGACAGACUCAGAUUCAAAGAACUUUGAAAAUAACGAUUUGGACCAGAGAGACCUGUAGUAGUGAACAAGCCAUAAGAAGCACAGACAACAGAUGUGCCUCUGAAGCACAAAAUGGCCACCACCAACAUCAUCAUAAAGUGCGUGCUGUCUGUCUACACCAGCUUGCUUCUGGAAUGAAGAAGAAUGAAACCAAGUUGAAAAGCCAACUGGAGCUGGUCAUUCAUCCAGAGCCUUCAAUAGUGAUGGCAGUCAUAUGGCUGCUUGGACCAACAGUUGACCACACCAUUGAGUCCAUGAUCUCAGUAGCAGCCAUGACAACAUCUACAAGAUGACAUCUGCAGUAGGCCUAUGGAUACAUACAAUCUGCACCUCUACCUUGGGCUGUCAAUUUGAAACAUCUCUGCUCAGAAGGAAGUGAAUGAAUAUCAAGGAUUGUUCUUCAUGAGAAUCUCUUCAACAGACAGUUUGCAUGCUCUUUGGAUGGAAUUACCUUAGCUUGGCUUGCAGAGACAGGGCUUUUUCACACAAAAAAUUGUGAAGAGCCUAGCCUAUUCAUAUUGGGAAAUUUAAACGCGUGAAAUUCUGCAAUUUGGGAAAUUUAAAUGCGUAAACGUCUUAAAUUGGGAAAUUCCACAUAUGAGGAUUGAAGACACCUUUUAAACACGGGUCAAGGUAUCCAUAUGAAACUUGGAACUCAUGUUACAAAAAAACAGGCUCAUAUCUUACAUGUGAGUCUACUUCUAGCUGAUUUUUUUUCAAUUAUGACCUUUUCAAUAUGAAAUUUGUACAAACACUCCACAAGGCCAAGCUAAAAAAUCUAAAAUGAAUGGACUUCCAAUUAAUAAACAUGUAUGUAGAUCUUAUUGGGGGAGAAAUCAUGUCUGUGACUUUCCUUCUUUAACAUGACACAAUGAAAAGAGAGGGAGAGAGAUUAGUUUUAAUUUUCAUAGAGUUGAUUCUAGAGAGUUGAUAACAAUAUAUGGACUAGAUGGUCCUCGAAUAAUGUUUAAAUUAUACAGCAUUCUUCUUAUGUUAACUUAAAAGAUAAACAGAAUAAUUUGCGCAAACAAAAUAAUUUUUUAUUGCAAAUUUUUGAAGUAGGAUCAUCCUUUUUUGGAAAAAUCUGGUAAUUGGGAAAAAAAUAUCUGGAUAUUGGGAAAAUAUGCCAUUUUUCCCAAUUGUGAAGUAGCCUAAUUUCGGCCCCUAGCAAAGAAGGUGAUAAAGCCCUGAGAGAGAAGCUGAGAUAUAAAAGACCUAUUUAUGGCUGCUUUGUUUAUUGGCCUUAUAGGAUUUCAUAUAUGUUUUGCAACCUAUUGUAAAAAUGGGAAUACAUGCACUAUAUGUCUGCAAACAGACACCUAUUUUUUAAAUACCAAGUAAAUACAUUUUGUGGGUUGACCUUAGACCAUAAAACAUUAAUGGUAAGUUAGCUUCAACCUGGAACAUGACCAGUAUUGCAUUUAAAGUUUGUUGGUCAAAGGUUAAGGUCAUAGGAAAAAGUGGUUCUUCUGCACAAUGACUCUUGAAUUCUUUGACCUUAGACCAUGAAUAUUUAGCGAUUGAUAUAUCAGUCCAAUGCAUAUGUAACAGGGUCUGGCUGAAAUUCAGCAGGAGCUCAUUUGCAUUGCAAAUCAUUAUUUGUGUAUGUAACUGUAAAUACUGACAGGCGUUGUGUCAGAAACUUGAUGAUCACAAAUUAGGGUCAUUUUGGAUCUUAAUUUUAUUUAAGUUUUUGUAUUUUCAUUCCACUCCUUACAGCAAUCGGGAACACAGUUUUGUGUUUUUGAAUUAUAGAACUUACAUUACAGCUGCACUCUACAGAUUGACAGUUUUGACAUUAUUUUACAUGUUUUGUCUCUGAACCAUCCUUCAGUUUUAAAUUCAUUUAAGAUAAAAGAAUAGGACAGAUCUUAAUUGUGUGAAAAACUGCUGAAUUUUUUAAAGCGUAACUCAUUAAGCCAUAAAACAUUAAUUUCCAUAUAUAAAUAAAAAAAAUGAUCUAAUCUUUUGUCAGCAGUCAUAAAUAUCACUGUUUUCCAGACAUUAAUGCAAAAAAAUACCUCAUUCCAAGACAAAAAAGUUGUCAAAUCGGUCAAUCCGCCUGUGAGAGAGCAACUUUAAACAGGACUUUAAGAUAAAUUAUGUUUUAGAGCCAAUGUUUUUGCUGUUAAUUAUAUAAUAAGUUUUUCCAUUUAUAUGUUAUUAAACUUAUUUAAUCUAUUCAACAUUUUGAAAAUGUUUGAUGGAUUUAAAAGCAGAUCUGAUAUUACCUGGUAGUGUUUAAGGUGAUGGUGUUGUUGGGUCACAUCCAUCAGUAUUAUAAUAGAAAAAAUGCAAAAUAACUUUAAAACGAGUUACAUGUUUGUGGACCUUGUAACUUUGUGCUAGUUUGCACAAAAACAGGAUAAAACCACUAGCCAAUUAAGGGAUGGGGGUACUUUUUAUUUCAAUUGUGAAUUGUUCAAAAUUUCCUGAACCCAACUGCAAACAUUUAAAACUGUAUCAAUUUUGUUUCUGAGGGAGAGGCAUGUGUCAAAAGGUUGCGCCCUUAAGCAGCCCCCUCUUACAUCAAUUCCUUCUUGUUUUUGAAACCAGUAGAUCAAAGUCACAGUUACUGUUAUUAGCAAAACAUUAUUUUUUGUUUUAUAUCUCAGACAAUUAAUACCUUUUAGUAGCUAUGACUUGACCAGCUGAUUAUCCUUAAUGAGCAUUAGGUCAAAAGUCAAUAUUACAAUCAUUGCUGAUAUAUACCUUCUUUAAUCUAGCACAAUGUCUUUAAACAUCUUUUGUUUAAAUGUUUUAUUUGUUUAAUGAGUGCAUGUACUAUUGCAUUGUGCAUUUGUUAAUUGGAGUUUAUGUUCAAUGUGUGUAAAUUAGCACAAGUAUCUUUUUAACUGAAAUAGCAUUAUGUACAGAUGUAUUCUCUUUAACGCUUUUUAACCGCAUUAUUUGCAAGAUCUUUGCAUAUACUGACAGGUAUUGGUCUUAAUUAGUUAAAUGAACAAUAAAAGGUUACAAUGGAGUCAUAUUUGACCAACUUUUAAAAUAGCCCACUGUGUGAAAAAAAUUUUUGUUUGUUUCCACUAACCUGACUGAUCACUAUUUUUUCCGCGGACCCUACACCUUUUGCUGUAGUGUAUAUUUGUUUUGUAUUUUAAAUUCCUAAAAAGUGUGCUUUUUUAGUGAACAUGUUAAAUUUUGACCAUGUUAAGCUCGAUUAUUGGAAGAAUAAGGAGGCUUUACUACUUGCCCCAGUGUUGCUGUUGGCGUCCUGUUCCAAGGUUUUGAUCGACACAUUUUAUAUUUGAUACCAGGUCUUCACUGUGAAGUGAAACCUAGUUAUAAUCAAAGCGCGAGGCGCUGAAAGACUAUCUGCGGGGAAAUAUGUGAGAGUUGCAAAUUUUAUUUGAAUUAUGGGAAUGGGUAAAGGGACCAUAGAUAAAAGUGAAAAAUGUGCCGCGGGCCAAGAGCGCUUGUGCCUACACUGGGCGAGGAAACAUACAUAUCUAUAUCUAUUUUAUGGCGUCUUGUGUCAUUUUGUUUAUGUAAAUGUCACAUCAAUCGUCGUAAUCCCCCAUCCCCAUGUAUUUAAUGUUACAAACUUACAAUGCAUGCCCCUAUCAAUCGUUUCUAAAUGUUUUUCGUUGCUUUGGUUAGAUAUCAUACGAUAGGAAAAUACAAUACAUCAUAUAUAGCAUUUCCUUUUAUGAACAUACACGUUUUGUUUAAGGAAAAUAUUUUUUUUUACAACUUCAGCAAUAAUUCCAUUCAAAAUGCACAGCUUAUCACUUCAGUCAACGUAUCCUCAUGUAUUUAAAGUUACAUUUAUGCAUGCCCCUUUCAAUCGCUUCUAAAGGUUUUUCGGUGCUUUGCUUUGAUAUCAUAUGUAAGGCAAGUUUUAUGAACAUACACAUUUUAAUUCUGUAAGGAAAAUAAUUUUGAUUUUUACGAGCAACUUUAGCAAUAAUUCCUAUCAAAAUGCAGAGCUUAUCAGAUGGUCGUUUUCCCGCGGUGAGGACAAACAUGUGGUCUGUUAAUGUAUGUAGAAACUAUUUUUAGAAAAUCAGUCAGUUAAUGUAGUUGAAACUAUUUUUAGAUUAUCGGAAAUUGUCUGUUCUAAGAAUGGGAAUAUGAUUGUGCUUUUUCAAGUUUUAUUGAUAAAUAAAUGUUAUUUAUGUUUUAUGCACGUAUCUGUGUAGAAAUAAUACUAGGCAGUGCUGUUAUGAAUGCCUCGCACUCUUUGGAUGUUUUAAAGUUAAAUCCGAACUACUUUGCUUCAUCAAACGUAUGCAAAACUCACUGUCGUAUCAGGGCAUUUGCGUUAGAAUAAAUUGAAAGCCUAAUGUCCAAAACUAUGCCAAGGAUACACCGGAACAAAGCGUUUACGUAAAAAAAUGAAAACAUCUUAUUAGAAAAGUAUACGCCUAAAAAAUCAUAGAAUAAAUAGUAUUUUGUUAUGGUAUAGCAGGCAAAUCAUAGUAUUUGAAGCAUUAGCAACGUGAAACCUGGGAUACAACUAUUUUGACUUUCAGACAAUCAAUUUUGUUUCUUGUCUCAUAAAAGUAAUAUCAAAAAUACACCAUUACAAAUAAGCGUGCUUCAUUGUCAAACCAGGUUAUAAUAACAAACCCUGCAGGCGAUGGUACACUUGCGGUCGGUAAUGAUUUCUUGAACAUCUUGGGCUCAGCUCAGAGUGAAUAUCAGUAUGUUACCUUCCUACCAGAGCCUCCAUUAUUUUGACCCACAUGAAUCUUAUAAAUAUAACGAUCUAUUAGUUAUAUUCUGCUAAAAAUAAAACGCCGGGAUACAGAAAUACAGCGCGGAAAUAGCCGAACAAGCAAGAACUCAUACUCGGACCGCAAUACAACUUAUCUAUUUAUAUGAUUUCGUCGUCAUUCUGUUAAACAUAGAGCGCAUUGAGACAAAAAAAUGGGUUAAAACGACAUGAAAAGAAGUAGUUCUUUGGAGUUUGCGGUCUUAAGACUACCAGCACGCAUGCGCAGAUAGUCUAAAAAUGACAUUGUUUUGUGGGCUAGUCAGCAGGGGGCAGCAUCAAAUACACCUAUGGUACCUUAUAAUUUUUUGACAGAGCAUGACUAAACUUGGUAUAUGGGUAGAGUUAAUUGAGAUUCUACAUAGGAUUACAUUUUCAGCUCCUAGGAUCAAGGUCAAGGUUACUGUUAAUAUAAAUAGAAAAUUGUUAGUACUGAAUAACUAGUUAGUGUUGACAUAUAGUGACCAAACUUAGUAUAUAGAAAGAGCUUUUAGAGAACUUUCAUGGGAUUGCAAAAUAAAAAACUAUUGAAACUUAAUCUCACAACAAAGGAUUAAUUAAUCAUGUUUGUCUGUUAAUCAUUGAAAACCUGUUUUUGUUGCAUUGCAGCAUUUCUUGCUUACUUUUAAUUUUGACUUUUUAUGCCCCCCUUCGAAGAAGAGGGGUAUAUUGCUUUGCACAGGCAUGUCGGUAUGUCGGUCGGUCGGUCGGUCCGUCGGUAGACCAAAGCUUGUCCGAGUGAUAACUCAACAAUCCCUGGACGUAUGGUCAUCAAACUUGACAUGGAGGUUGGGCCUGACCAGUAGUUGACCCCUAUUGUUUUUUGGGGUCAUCAGGCCAAAGGUCAAGGUCACAGUGACCUUGAAUGGUAAAAGGUUGUCCGAGUGAUAACGUGACAAUGCCUGCACCCAUGGCCCUCAAACUUGACUUGGAGGUUGGGGCUGACCAGUAGUUGACCCCUAUUGUUUUUGGGGGUCAUCAGGCCAAAGGUCAAGGUCACAGUGACCUUGAAUGGUAAAAGGUUGUCCGAGUGAUAACGUGACAAUGCCUGCACCCAUGCCCCUCAAACUUGACUUGGAGGUUGGGCCUGACCAGUAGCUGACCCCUAUUGCUUUUUGGGCUCAAUGGGUCAAAGGUCAAGGUCACAGUGACCUUUAAUGGUAAAAGGUUGUUCAUGUGAUAACUCAACAAUGCCUGCACCCAUGGCCCUCAAACUUGACUUGGAGGUUGGGCCUGACCAGUAGAUGACCCCUAUUGUUUUUGG